ensembl:lncRNA TEX41 testis expressed 41
GGCCUCCAUCUUGAAAACGGAAAAUAAAAACAGCAGACCUAUGAAGGUCGAAGGGGAAGAAAAGCUGUAUCGAUUGUUGAGAUCUGGCGACUUGUUUAAAUUUCAUCAGCCUCACUUCUAUGAACUCUCAGGACAAACUGCAACAGAGUCACAUCGAGUUGAGACUUCUCCAAGGGCCAUGGGGUUGACAUCUGUAUUCUCAGAGCUGAUUACCAACUCCUACCACUGUUAACCCUCAUCCAGGAACAAGCUUAUGUCUUUAACAUUCUGAGUGGGCUUCAGCAUCCUUGCAUAUGUUCAAUUCUUAAAAACCUGUUGAAAUAAAAGAUCAGGAGACAUAGGAAGGAUGCCAGAAGAGAGCGUGGCCUCACGUGUACCAGCUCUCUGCUCUCCUUUGCCUUGGGACGUUCCAUCCCUGGAAGUUUCCCUGCCCACAUCUUUGUAGAGAGUCCAUUCUCCAAGCUUCAGUGUGUCAUCUGUGAGGACCGUGACCCACCUGGUACAUCGCCUCAGGGCAUUCAUUUCAGGCUCCUUCUAAAUGGCCAAGACAGAGUCCUGCUCUGUCACCCAGGCUGGAGUGCAGUGGCAUGAUCCUGUCUCAUUGCAACCUCUGCCUCCCGGAUUCAAGCGAUUCUCGUGCGUCAGCCUCCCAAGUAGCUGGGAUUACAGGCGUGAGCCCCUGUGCCCGCCCCCCCCACUUCUGGUAUACCUUUGAAUAACACUUUACAUUUUGUGGGGUGCUUUUCUGUUCCAGUUGCCAGCAUUAAGAAAAUGUGGUCUUGUGAAUAUGAUUGUGAGUUGGAACUUAGUAGACAGAUUUUGGCUCUUCCCUGAUUCUAUCUCUAUGACUUGAGUAACAAUGACCAGUGGCCACAAUCAAGGUUUCAACUCUGUAAAACAGGUGUGAUGUUGCUAAUUUUGUUUGUGUGUGUGGUAAAAAUCAGUAUUAUCUCAGGCUAUUUGCCUUAAGCUUUUUAUAAGAAGAAAGCCAUAAGUAGCAUGCAAGAAGCUACUGGUGAUGAUCAUCUAGGAUGUUUGUUUCUCACUCUCAUGUUCCCUGACUAACAAAGAAAUAAUGAAAUUGUCCUUGAGCCAGAGGAAUGGCUGGAUGGUGGCCAAGGAUUUGGGUUGAAUCCCCAGUCAUGUUUGACAUUUGUGUUAAUCAGUUGGGUUUCUUGUCACCUAGAGUAAUGUUGACUUGGAUAUGUAUUGUUCAGCACAAUGAAACAAGUAAACAUUUUUAAAAUGUUGAACAUUUAGCAAACUGACAGUUAUAGGUCUUCAUAUCCAAAGGCAAUGAAGCAUUGUUAUAUGAUUAAAAAUAAACAUAAUUUGCAUUGACAAUAAAUAAAUAUAUACU